rnacentral:rRNA from 1 species
AGUGAACGCUGGCGGUAGGCCUAACACAUGCAAGUCGAACGGCAGCACAGUAAGAGCUUGCUCUUACGGGUGGCGAGUGGCGGACGGGUGAGGAAUACAUCGGAAUCUACUUUUUCGUGGGGGAUAACGUAGGGAAACUUACGCUAAUACCGCAUACGACCUACGGUUGAAAGCAGGGGAUCUUCGGACCUUGCGCGAUUGAAUGAGCCGAUGUCGGAUUAGCUAGUUGGCGGGGUAAAGGCCCACCAAGGCGACGAUCCGUAGCUGGUCUGAGAGGAUGAUCAGCCACACUGGAACUGAGACACGGUCCAGACUCCUACGGGAGGCAGCAGUGGGGAAUAUUGGACAAUGGGCGCAAGCCUGAUCCAGCCAUACCGCGUGGGUGAAGAAGGCCUUCGGGUUGUAAAGCCCUUUUGUUGGGAAAGAAAAGCAGCAGGUUAAUACCCAGCUGUUCUGACGGUACCCAAAGAAUAAGCACCGGCUAACUUCGUG